GAGCCCGUAGCUCAGUCGGUAGAGCAACUGACUUUUAAUCAGUGGGUCGCAGGUUCGAUUCCUGCCGGGCUCGCCA
rnacentral:tRNA from 1 species